GGAGUCGUGGCGCAAUGGCUAGCGUGUUUGGCUUCGAUUGCCCAAACAACCAAAAGGCUGCAGGUUCGAGUCCUGCCGACUUCG